rnacentral:rRNA from 1 species
UACAGAGGUGGCAAGCGUUGUUCGGAAUUACUGGGCGUAAAGGGCGCGUAGGCGGCCUUCUAAGUCAGACGUGAAAUCCCCCGGCUUAACCUGGGAACUGCGUCUGAUACUGGAGGGCUUGAGUGCGGGAGAGGGAUGUGGAAUUCCAGGUGUAGCAGUGAAAUGCGUAGAGAUGCGGAGGAACACCGAUGGCGAAGGCAGCCCCCUGGGCUAACACUGACGCUCAGGCACGAAAGCGUGGGGAGCAAACAGG